AGCCCAAGCCCCAGCCCUCCUCCCUUAGACUCAGGGGUCCAGACCCCAGCCAACCUCCCCUAGACCCAGGGGGUCCAGUCCCCAGCCCUCCUCCCUCAGACUCUGCAGUCGGGCCCCUUUAGGGCAGCUGCCACCUGCAGUCCCCUUCCUUUCUACAGAACCCGCCCUCUGCUCCCUCCUGGUUCCGCCCCUACCUGGAGCCUUUCCUCGCCUCACCCCUCCAUCUCAGGCUAUCCGAGAGACCCACGGCUGCGAUGGCAUCCCCGCGAGGAUGGCAGUGGGGAGAGCCACGAGCGUUCGGCCGGGCAGUGAAGCUGCUACAGCGCUUGGAAGAGCAAUGCAAGGACCCCAGACUGGUUAUGGGGCCCCCGUCGCUGCGGGUCCUUCUGCCCCGCACCGCUCAACUACUUCGAGAAGUGGCAAAAGCCCGGCGCGAGGCUGAGGGAGACCCCGAGGGUCCCGGUGGCGCUGGGGAUUAUCUGGUCAUCUACCUGGCCAAUCUGGAGGCCAAAGGCAGGAAAGUGGCCGAGCUGCUGCCACCCCGAGGCAAAAAGGAUGCGAACGAGGAGGUUUUCCGGGAGGGCUCCAGAUUCAGGCGACAGCUGGCCAAGCUGGCCCUCAUCUUCAGUCACAUGCACGCGGAGAUGAGUGCACUCUUCCCUGGGGGGAGGUACUGCGGACACCUGUACCAGCUCACUGAGGGCUCUGCCCACACCUUCUGGAGGGAGCACUGUGGAAUCCGGUGUGUGCUUCCCUGGGCGGAGUUCCAGUCCCUGCUGUGUGCUUGCCACCCUGUGGAACCAGGCCCCAUCACCCAGGCCUUGCGUUCCACCUUGGACCUCACCUGUAGUGGCCACGUGUCUGUCUUUGAGUUUGACAUCUUCACCAGGCUCUUCCAGCCGUGGCCGACCCUACUCAAGAACUGGCUGCUCCUGGCUGUCAACCACCCCGGCUACAUGGCCUUCUUGACCUAUGAUGAAGUCCAGACGCGCCUGCAGGCCUGCAGGGACAAACCAGGCAGCUACAUCUUCAGGCCCAGCUGUACUCGCCUGGGGCAGUGGGCUAUUGGGUACGUGAGUCCCGAGGGAAGCAUCCUACAGACCAUUCCUCCCAACAAACCCCUGUUCCAGGUGCUCCUGAAAGGACAAAAGGACGGCAUCCUCCUCUACCCUGAUGGAAAGAACCACAACCCAGAUCUGACCGAGCUGUACCAGGCAAAACUCCACCAGCGCAUUGAGGUAUCAGAGGAGCAACUGCAGCUCUAUGAAGCCAUGAACUCCACAUUUGAGCUGUGCAAGAUCUGUGCUGAGAGGGACAAGGACGUGAGGAUCGAGCCUUGUGGGCACCUUCUCUGCAGCCACUGCCUGGCUACCUGGCAGCAGUCGGAUAGCCAGACCUGUCCCUUCUGCCGGUGUCAGAUCAAAGGCCACGAGGCUGUGAGUAUCUGUCAGGCACAAGAGAGGUCCGUGGAGUUCAGAGCCACCACAGAGGAAGCCAGAGACAACUGUCACCAUGAGGCUGUGUGGAAUCUGGACCAGGUGACUCCCGCUGCUCCCCCAUUGCCCCCUGAAGAUCCGUCCCCUAGGACACCCCAAGACAACGGCUGGCUGACAGUGGCACCCCUCACCCUGCCCAGACUCCGAGCUCCCCUUCAUUUACCAAAAAUGGCCUCGGUUAUGUGGGAAGUCCCCACCAGGCCCCAGGCCAGGGAGGGGGCCACAGGAAGCUCCUGAGCGGGAAUUCUCCCCUCCAGCUGGCCCUGUGUGGCCCCCAGAUGUGUCCCAGAUCUAGAGGCCAGGGCACCUGGACUGGAGGAAGGGCGCCCUGGAGCUGGAAGGGGUGAUGACGCUGAAAUAAAUUGAAUCCUGGCCCUUCA